UGUGGUAUAUUGGACAAUGGGCGAAAGCCUGAUCCAGCCAUGCCGCGUGUGUGAAGAAGGUCUUCGGAUUGUAAAGCACUUUAAGUUGGGAGGAAGGGCAGUAAGCGAAUACCUUGCUGUUUUGACGUUACCGACAGAAUAAGCACCGGCUAACUCUGUGCCAGCAGCCGCGGUAAUACAGAGGGUGAAAGCGUUAAUCGGAAUUACUGGGCGUAAAGCGCGCGUAGGUGGUUCGUUAAGUUGAAUGUGAAAGCCCCGGGCUCAACCUGGGAACUGCAUCCAAAACUGGCGAGCUAGGGUAGGGCAGAGGGUGGUUGAAUUUCCUGUGUAGCGGUGAAAUGCGUAGAUAUAGGAAGGAACACCAGUGGCGAAGGCGACCACCUGGGCUAAUACUGACACUGAGGGGCGAAAGCGUGGGGAGCAAACAGG
rnacentral:rRNA from 1 species